rnacentral:rRNA from 1 species
CCCUUCGGGGCAUUGGAGACAGGUGGUGCAUGGUUGUCGUCAGCUCGUGUCGUGAGAUGUUGGGUUAAGUCCCGCAACGAGCGCAACCCCUAUUUCCAGUAGCCAGCAAGAAAGAUGGGAACUCUGGAGAGACUGCCCGGGAUAACUGGGAGGAAGGCGGGGAUGACGUCAAAUCAUCAUGCCCCUUAUGAUCAGGGCUACACACGUGCUACAAUGGCGUAAACAAAGGGAAGCGAAGUGGUGACACGAAGCAAAUCCGAAAAACAACGUCUCAGUUCGGAUUGUAGUCUGCAACUCGACUACAUGAAGCUGGAAUCGCUGGUAAUCGCGAAUCAGAAUGUCGCGGUGAAUACGUUCCCGGGUCUUGUACACACCGCCCGUCACACCAUGGGAGUCGGAAAUGCCCGAAGUCAGUGACCCAACCGAGAGGAGGGAGCUGCCGAAGGUGGAGCCGGUAACUGGGGUGAAGUCGUAACAAGGUAGCCGUAUCGGAAGGUGCGGCUGGAU